ACGGGAGGCAGCAGUGAGGAAUAUUGGUCAAUGGGCGGAAGCCUGAACCAGCCAAGUCGCGUGAAGGAUGAAGGUAUUAUGUAUUGUAAACUUCUUUAGCUGUGGAGCAAUAAUCGCCAUGCAUGGCGAGAUGAGAGUACACAGAGAAUAAGGACCGGCUAAUUCCGUGCCAGCAGCCGCGGUAAUACGGAAGGUCCGGGCGUUAUCCGGAUUUAUUGGGUUUAAAGGGAGCGUAGGCCGUGCUUUAAGCGUGUUGUGAAAUGUAGGCGCCCAACGUCUGCACUGCAGCGCGAACUGGAGCACUUGAGUACGCAGGAAGUAGGCGGAAUUCGUCGUGUAGCGGUGAAAUGCUUAGAUAUGACGAAGAACUCCGAUUGGGAAGCCAGCUUACUGUAGCGCCACUGACGCUGAUGCUCGAAAGCGUGGGUAUCGAACAGGAUUAGAUACCCUGGUA
rnacentral:rRNA from 1 species